ensembl:lncRNA
CUGGUGUGACAAGCAUAGUAUAUAUUCCAUUUAUGUUCCAGGAAAAUCGUGUGUCUCUUCUUUUUUAACAUGUUGUAAAAUUCUUAUGUCAUGUUACAAACUGGUUUCUUUUUACUUUUGUGAUUCUGCCAUUUUCUAGUGGAAUAGUUGCUAUUUUAGUAAUCCUCAUGUUAAAACUACAUCAUUGAAAUGGAAACUUCCAUUUGGCACUCUGGCAUUUAGACUUCUCUUUACUCUGAUUUUUUCCUUCCUCCAUAGUCCUUUCUCUCUUUCAAUGUGCUUUAUAACUGAUUUAUGGUUACAUGAAUUGUUCUUUGGAUCCUGUGACUGUGUGCAUGCUCAGUCAUGUCUGCCUCUUUGUGACCCCAUGGACUGUGCCCUGCCAGGUGCCUCUGUCCAUGAAAUUUUUCAGGCAAGAAUACUGGAGUGGGUUGCCAUUUCCUACUCCAGGGGAUCUUCCCAACCCAGGGAUUGAACCCAUGUCUCCUGCGUCUCCUGCGUCUCCUGCAUUGGCAGGUGGAUUCUUUACCACUGAGCCACCUGGGAAGCCUCUUCUUGGAUCUUACCUGACCAGAAUAAAAUCUCUGAGUUCACACAUUUCUAUCUUGUUCAGUGAAACAUCCUCAGUGUCUCAAACAUCCCCAUCACAGAGUAUUUGUGAAAUAAUUCCACUGGAUAAGUGAAGUUCCUGUAUGGAUUUCAGCUUCCACUCUGUUUCCACAGCUUAGAGUUGAAAUCUGACUCAGACUUUCAAACUGAUCUGGCCCUGAAUCCAUCCACUAACCUAUACUUCCUUCCUUCUUUUCUUCCUUCCAUCUGCCAGCUCUCAGCUUCCAGUCUGCCUAGGCUCUAACUCUUCCCAUUGCCACCUGAAACUUGGUUUUUUACACUUUCUUCUCGCUAUUAGCUAUGGUUCUUUGACCUAAUACUGCCAUAAUGUGGUGAAGCAUUAAUCUGUAGAAGGAUAGAGGUACACCAGUAAGUAUCCCUUGGAGAAGGGAAUGGCGACCCACUCCAGUAUUCUUGCCUGAAUAUCCCGCCAGUAAGUAUCCCACGGACAGAGGAGCACGGAGUCAGACACGACUGAAGGACUAAGCACACACACACCAGUAAGCACAAGGUGGCUGCCAAUGUUUCACACAAGGAACACAGGUGUGAGUGUUGGAACUGAUGGUUCCCAGGACACUGCAUCACAAAAGGCCCUUCUGGCAUCUCCCCAUCUUUCAGCAAGAAUAGCACGCAUCCUGAGAGUUGUUACGUGGACUUUUCAGCUUUCAAUUCAUUUCAGAUGUGGCUUAAAGUAACAUGUCAUUCAGAGUUUGUUUGCCUGUAGGGUGAUUCAUUCAUUGAUCUCCUAAACAAACAUAUAGUAGGUAGGGGAGAAGACAGGAGAAAAAGGGAGGGAAGGAAGAAAUGACAGAGGAAACAAUUUUUACCCUAGGGCAUCCAUGUUGUGAUUACCUCUCAAAAACUAGAAACAAGCAGUUUGGUUCCCUGUGUGAAAAUUCAAACUGGUAAAACCAUGAACUUGAGGUGAGUUCUGUGGCUUCUCUAAAGUAUCUGGGGUUCUGUAGCUUGGUUGGUUGGUUGUUGCUUUCAUUUAAAAGAAGAUGAUAUUUAUAAAUGAGAGAGGGAUUAGAAUAUGAAUAACAAAAUGAAGCUGAUGAUUCCUGUUUAAAAUAUUGAAAAUUGGGGGUCAGAAAAGAAUCAAAUCAUGAAUCUUUUCUUCAUACCUGUAAGAACCAGGCUGUAAAUUUAUUGCGUGUUGUAUAGAGAGCCCAAAAUAGUAUGUGUGUGUAUGUUUAAGACACUUCUCUGUGACUCAUUCAACAAACAUGAUCAUCUUCCAAGUGCAAGGCCCCGCGUCCAGUGCUACAGGAAGAACAGCAGGAGACAAUGGCAGAACAAUGAGAGCUCGUGGGACUUCUCUGGCGAUCCAGUGGCUAAGGCGCCACACUCCCAAUGCAGGUUCAAUCCCUGAUCAGGGAACUAGACCCCACAUGCCUCAAAUAAGAGUUCACAUACCACAACUCAGACCCGGCCCAGACAAAUAAAUAAAAAUAAAUAUAAAAAGAACAAUGGGAGUUACUAUUUCUAUGGGCAAAUAUGCUGUGCCUGUUUCUUUCAAAAGUUAUACUUGAGUCUCACAAAAAUCUGCAACAUAGAUAUUAUAAUGUGUACUUUCCUUCCAAGUACGAGAAAACUGAAGAUUAGAAAAGUUCAGUAAUAUUCCAAGCCAAACAGCUUACAUGUAUUCAAUUCAAUGUUUUGACAGUACCACAUCCAUGUUAUUUUGACUAAGCCGCCUUCGAGGUACUCAUAACCUGGAAGACAUGAUCUCUCUCAUUUGCUCAACUUCUUUCUUUCUCUCUCUCUGUCUCACACACACACUCAUCUAGGCUGUGAUCUAUAUACAUAUCUAAAAGAGAGACAAAUACUCUCACUUGAGCACCUAGAUUCUGAGGGCUCCGGUGGCUGCCUGGUCAUUUGCCGGCAGUUCAUGCUGUAGUCUACGCACUCGAGGGCGUGAAUGUACUGACAACUGUCCAUGUACUUACUCCCUGUGCACCCACUAAGUGCAAGAGAUACACACACUCCUAAAACCUAGUCCUGUCUUCAAGGAGAUUAGUUGCGUAUAAGAAAUUUAUAUGUCAAAAAAGUGUUGUAGUAUUGGCCAAUUUCCCAGUUCUUUUGAAAAUGUACCAGGUAGGAAAACAACAUGCCACUUGCAACAGAAUAAAGAAAACACAGAUAUUGAUCAAAAUGUUAUAAACCUGGCUUAAAGGAAAGUGUGGCUUAAGUAGUGCAAAGAGGCUCAUUUGAGAACUAUAGACCGUUUUCUUUUCCUCUUCUCUUUCAAAACAUUUCUUUCAGGCUCUUUCUCCCUCAUAAAAUUCAUAUUUUGCAUCCUUUAGGAAAAAAAAUAUUUUUCAGAGCUUACAGGUGGCAGUAGAAUGAAGGGUUAUAGAAAAUAACUAGUUUUAACUGCACAUGGGACUUCCCUGGUUGUCCAGUGGUUUAAAAUCCACCUUUCAAUGAAAGGGAUGUGAGUUUGACUCCUUGUUGGGGGACUUGGAUCUUACAUGCUGCAACCAAGCCCGUACUCUGCAACUACUGAGCCCAUGCACCAUGAGACCAUGCACCACGACUGGAGAGAAGCCCCCAUGCUGCCAAGAACUGACACAGCCAAAUAAAUAAAUACAUGUUUUUUUUUUGGAAAAACACACACACACACAGAGUUCAUGGAUCUUUGGAGAGAGUUCACUGCGUGGCGACCCAAAUCAUGGAUAGUGGUUAUACUACAAUCAGGUGACUCAUUAUAGCAAACUAUUGGCUGCAUGUUCUAAAUUUAAUGUAGCUGGGAGAAUGUUUGGUACCCUGUUAAAUAGUAAGAACAAUCACAUUUCAUUUAAAGCAAAGCCAAUUUAAGAUAUUUUAUGAUUUCAGGGAUGUUAAAAUGUGAAAAAAAGUACAUCUUAGAAUUCAUAAAAUAGGAAUAUAUAUUAGUCAAGGCUCUCCAGAGAAACAGAAAAUCCAACAGGAUGUGUUUGUAUCAUUUAUUUCCAUCUAUCUUUCUAUCUAUCUAAUUUAGAUUUUAAGAAAUUGGCUCAUACAAUUGUAGAGACUUAGAAAGUCCAAAAUCUUGAGUAGGCUGGCAGACUGCAGACCCAAGGUAGUUUCAGAAGUCACAGUUCAAGUUCAAAAGUGUUAUUCUGGCAGAAUCCCUUCACCCUCCAGCAAGGUCAGUCUUUUUCUAGUAAGGCCUUCAACUGACUGAAUGAGGCCCACCACUGCCCACAUUAUGAAGAACAAUCUGCUUUACUCAAAGUUUACUGAAUUCCCUGUUAAUUUCAUCUAAAAAUUACCUUCACAGAAACAUCUAGGCUAAAUGUUUGGCCAAAUAUAUGGGCCCUGUGGCGUAACCAAUGCCACAUGAGUCACUGUGGCAGAGGGACAUUAGGAGGAAGAUUCUCUUUGUUGUGGGAAGUGUUAGCGCUGGAACUCACCCUGUCACGGCACAAAGACAUGAGCAGAGCAGUGCUGGUUCUUCCUCUCAAGGCUUUUUUGUGGGUUGGGGUUCACCCUGUCUGAUCUCUUCUGGGCCUUCCCUUCAAAAGGGAAUCAUCCAUAAUGCAAUCAAUUAAACCCACCCCAUAGAGCAAACUUCUGGUGAGCUGCAAAGGGAAAUAGCUCUGUCCUUUUCUCUAUGUUACUAAUGUUUACAUUUCUGUUUUUCUAACUUGGACAGAAGCCAGACCCCUGGGAUUUGGGGGUGAGGGGGAUAUGGGGGGAAAAUCAAAUGUUCUGCCAAUAUAUGAAAUAUAAUUUUUUUCCCUAAAUUUUAGUUUAGCUCUUCUUUGUUGGAACUUGUGCCAGUGGUCAGAAAGAGGAGGAAGAGAGAAAAAGUAUGGUCUCCACACUGCCCCCAUCCACCACAAUCAGACCACAUUUCACUCCUACCCACCUUUAACUCUUCUCACCACUGGUUUCCCGUCCAAACACCCCGGAACCCACUGCUCUUAUAUUCUCUAGAAUGUUCCCAGGCCUGUCUCUGCCAGCAGUUAUCCCCUGUUAAAUAUUACCAUGAUCAGUUUCUUCCCUCCUCCUGCUUGCACAAUCCUGGAACCAGUGACUCACUCUUGCUUUAUUGUAAGUAUUUACAUUUUGGUUAAAAUCAUGGACCUUGGAGCCGUGGAAUCUCUUCUUCGCCACUUGUGUGACACUCGCAUCUGUUCCCUCACCUAUAAAACUGGGAUAAUGACAGUAUUUACGUCACAGUGUGGAACUACCUUCUUUCAACACGUCUGCUGAGCUGUAACCUCUCUGAUAAAAUACAUUUCCCAGAGUUUCCUGCAGACUUCAUAUGGUAGUUUCUGCCUGCCGCUGCCAAGUUGCUUCAGUUGUGUCCGACUCUGUGCGACCCCAUGGACGGCAGCCUACCAGGCUUCUCCAUCCAUGGGAUUCUCCAGGCAAGAACACUGGAGUGGAUUGCCAUUUCCUUCUUCACAUAUGAGGCUGAAGUCUGAGAUCAGAGUGCCCCCCGGACAGGACCUGGCAACGGCCCUAUUCCAAGAUGCAGACUGCUAACUCCUCGUCGCCUCCCGUGGUAGAAAGAGAGCCAGCCAGUUCUCUGACCUUUUCUUGUAAGGACACCAGUCCCAUUCAUGAGGACUCCACUCUCACGGCUCAGUCACCUCCCCAAAGCAUCACUUCUAAAACCAUCACAUUGGUGAUGAGAUUUCAACAAAAGAAUCUGAGGUGGGGGGUGGGGGGUGGGGAGAACAUUCAAUCCAAAACAAGCAGCUUUCUGCUCUUUGUGCCUUAGGAUGUUUGAAGAAUGGGGAUGGAACACAGUACCUUCAAAGUGUUCAUGUGUAUUUUUAUCAAAAAACUAAGAGGAGAAGGAAAUGACAACCCAUUCCAGUAUUCUUCCCUGGAGAAUUCUAUGGAUGGAGGAGCCUGGCAGAUUGCAGUCCUUGGGGUUGCAAAGAGUCAGAGACAACUGAGCAACUAACACACAUACAUGACAAAUGUGUUUCAAUUACUGAAAACGUGUGAAACACUACCUGUGUGUAUUUCUUAAAUGCCGGCUCUAUGCAAGGCAGACAUGAUGUUUGCCCUCAUGGAGCUUUGGUUUCAGUGGCAUCUUCACUGUAAAUAAAAGGACAGUUGCCUUUUCAAUUAUUCCUUCUGUGAAGCUUGGUAGUGGAGGCCAAACUCACAGGACUAAAACAUAUCAGACUAUAUCAGUACAUUAGUAUCAGAAUGGAGAAACACUGAGAAAAUAAGAAUAAUAAGAGGAGGUAUGAGUGGAGGAGACAAAAAGAGUAACAGAAUGUGUGCUUAGUGAGUAGAGGUGGUGGUGGGGAGGGAGGCACCUGUGACCACGCUGGGAACUGCUCAGUGGUCUAGACCACCCAGCCCUCAAGUACAUGCUGCCCGUUUUCGUAACACUUUGCACUGCUUGAAAGGGAAGAUCCUGUGGCCACAGAAACAGUCUGGGAACUGAUAUUAUCAGUUUGGGCCAGUUAUCCAGAUCAGACCCGGUUGAGUUGCUGAGAGAAAGCGGCAGGAUUUCUGACUGCCAGGCUAGACUAUAUUUUCCCCCUUUUAUGGCUCAUUAUAAAAAUAUUUGUGCUGACCUGUAAGCUGAUCAGUGCCAACUGGAGUCAGCCCACUUGAGAGGAAAAUUAUUUAUGAUUACAAUUUGGCUGCAAGGCUCCUUGAGUAUUUCUGCCUCCCUGAGUUGAGAAUUGAAAUUAUCAAGACCCCAAACUACAUUUUCUCAGUUCUGUGGGAAGGCUAUCUAGUAGCUUCCUUGGAUCACAAUAGUUAGUCGUCCUUAGGAAACACCCAAAGAGCUGUUGUGUAGCUUUCCCUUAAUCAUACACUGUCUUUGCCACCUCAUUCAUCCUCCUGUUAAACUCACUUCUCAACAAAAUUUCCCUUUUCUUUAAAAGCCUCUCCUGGUCUGUCUGGGUUAUGUAUUGACCUAUUUAUUUUGUGUGUGGGUGGUUUCUGUGACUCCUCCUGGCUGAAAAAUGUCAUGACUGAAUCUACAUUGUCAGCUUUGAGCAUCAUGGAAAUCCUCACCCCAAUGCCUGUGCACCUGCUUCACUUCCAAAGUCCUCCUGAGCUUGCUUAUCUGUGGCUGUUGAAUUCAGUAGCUUGAGUCAUGAUAAUGAGGCCAAGAUUGUGGUUUUGAUGCAUGAAAGUGAAACGUGAAAGUGUUAGUCCCUCAGCCCUGUUUGACUCUUUGCAACCCCAUGGACUGUAGCCUGCCAGGCUCCUCUGUCCAUGGGGAAAGAAUGCUGGAAUGGGUUGCCAUGCACCUCUUCCAGGGGCUCUUCCUGACCCAGGGAUUGAACCCAUGUCUCCUGUGGCUCCUGCAUUGCAGAUGGAUUCUUUAUCACUGAGCCACUGGGGAAGCCCAUACUCCAUUUAUAGUUAUUAUAAAUAUUGGCUAUAUUCUCUGUGUUGCAUAAUGGAUCCUUGUAGUUUAUCUUCUACAUAGUAGUUUGAAUCUUUUAAUCCCCUACCCCUAUCCUUGCCUUUCCUUCUUUCCCUCUCCUUACUGGUAACCACUAGUUUGUUCUCUGUACCUGUAAGUUUGUUUCAUUUUUGUUACAUUCACUGGUUUUUAUUUUUAGAUUCCACAUAUAAGUGAUAUCACAUGGUAUUUGUCUUUCUGUCUGACUUGUUUACUUAGCAGUAAUGCCCUCCAAUGGUACCCCACUCCAGAACUCUUGCCUGGAAAAUCCCAUGGAUGGAGGAGCCUGGUGGGCUGCAGUCCAUGGGGUCGUGAAGAGUUGGACAGGCCUGAGAAACUUCACUUUAACUUUUCAUUUUCAAGCAUUAGAGAAGGAAAUGGCAACCCACUCCAGUGUUCUUGCCUGGAGAAUCCCAGGGACGGGGGAGCCUGGUGGGCUGCCGUCUAUGGAGUCGCACAGAGUCGGACACGACUGAAGCAACUUAGCAGCAGCAGCAAUGCCCUCCAUGGCCGUCCAUGUUAUUGCAAAUGGCAACAUUUUAUUCUUUUUAAUGGCAGAAUAGUAUUCCAUUGUAAUACUAAGUUUCUUAAUGGUGUUAUCUUCCUCAUAAUUCUUUGCAGAUGUCAACAUCAGUAAUAAUCUGUUUCAGAAGCAUAUGAGUAAUCAAGUUGGAAACUAUCUUAAAGAUUUUAACCAUGGAGUACAGAUUGGCAGUCCAAGUAUAGAUUUAGCUCUCAGGCUUGUUUUAUUUGACCUUCAUCAUGUUAUAAAAAUAUAUAAAUUCAAAUGUCUUCAGGCACAUUCUGUAGUCCAUAUAUAUGGAAUCUAGAAAGAUGGUACUGAUGAAUCUACUCACAUACAGCAAUGGAGAUACAGACACAGGGAACGGACUUACGGACAAGGACAGGGGAGAGGAAGAAGAGGGUGAGAUGAAUGGAGAGAGUAGCAUGGAAGCAUAUACGCUACCAUAAGUAAAAUAGAUGGCCAAUGGAAAUUUGCUGUAUGACUCAGGGAACUCAAACCAGGGCAUAAAUAUGUGGUGAAUGCAUUCACAACUUUUUAAAGUGAGAACUUGACAAGUCUGGGCUAAUCCCAGAAAGCAGACUAAGCAAAAUUACGAUGCUGCCAGUACACGGGGUGGAGUUUCCAUAAGAGUCAGGACACCGCUGCUCUGUUUCCUGGUUCUUCAGCCAUGGAAAAAACCAGCUGCAGUUUGCUUCAUAAACCAUUGUAUAAAUGACGCUAUGUGCUCAAGGGUGAUCGAGUCCAAAGAACUUUGCAUAAAUGUCUUCUCUGGUCGGGGAGAAACCAGUUGUUUAGCUCACAUCAUUGGUCGAUUUUGGAUCUUGUGGCCAGUUACCCCAUUGAAAGAAACAAAGCAAAAGUGAACCUUCUGUCUUUUUGAGGGUUGGGGGAAAGAACUUCAAAACUGGUGAAAAAGAUACAAAGAACUCAAUAAUGGAAACAUAAGAAAAUACACCUACCUAAAUGAAAGUGAAAGUUGCUCAGUCCUGUCGGACUCUUUGCAACCCAGUGGACUUAGUCCAAGGAAUUCUUCAGGCCAAAAUACUGGAGUGGGUAGCCUUUCCCUUCUCCAGGGGAUCUUCCCAACCCAGGGAUUGAACCCAGGUCUCCCACAUUGCAGGCAGAUUCUUUACCAGCUGAGCCCCAAGGGAAGCCCACCAAAAUGAACUGGGACACAAGUAACCAAGCUUAUCAGUGAUACAUAUCAAGUUUUUCAAUGGACAGCUUCAUGAAUGAAGUGAUUCUUGAGUAGAGUUUUGAAGAUGUACAGCAUAGUAGAAAGGAUAUUCCUUUAGAGAGAUUAGACAGGACUGGUGUUUAUCAUUGGGCUGCACAACGAGAGCACAAAGUGUGAGUUGUGGACACAUAUUUCACUAGUACCACUGUCUGCCCCAUCUUAAAAAGCAACCAGACAAAAAUCUCUCCUGGAACGUAAUAGCCCUUUGUAGCUAGUGGGUACCCUAAUCCCCUCAUGGAGACCAUGCACAGACAACCCAGUCCUCUUUCUGGACACGUGGCAACAUUGCAUUCCUCCUCUGCCUCCUAUGGCAGUGUGAUCUGCUUUGAAAAUUUGGAACAAUGUGUCAAGUGUUGCUUUCAGGAGAAAGUUUUGCAAUCCAUUGCCAUUAUGGGACUCAGCAGUUCUCUUUUUCUUGAGGUAAAAGUUAUAAAUGCCUGUGUUGAGGGGAGUCUCUCCUGUGUUGAGCAGAGUCCCCUGACGACCUGCCCUGGAUGCAGGGCACAGUGAGAAGUAAACUUUUGUUGUGUUAAGCCACUGAAAUUUGAAUUGGUUGUUGCUGCAGUAUAAUCUAGUCUUGGGUUGGUGGUGCUAGUGGUAAAGAACCUGCCUGCAAUACAGGAGACAUAAGAGACAUGGGUUUGAUCCCUGGGUUGGGAACCCCUGGAGAAGGAAAUGGAAACCCACUCCACUAUUCUUGCCUGGAGAAUCCCAAGGACAGAGGUGCCUGGUGGGCUACAGUCCAUAGGGUUGCAAAGAGUCAGACACGACUGAAAUGACUUAGCAUGCAAACAAGUCCUUCCUGGAUGAUUCAAUUAUACUUCUCUUUUCUCUGUGUCUGGCUUUUCUUUCACUCCUCAACUUUCUACACUCUUAUUUCUAUCCCUACUAUUUGAAUGAAACUACUGUGGACAGGUCAUGGAAUUACCAUAUAGUUUGGGGUUCUAUCUUAUUGGACACCUUUGGUAUAUUUAAUACUGUGGACCACUUCUUUCUUAAAAUUCUUUUUUCCUUUGGC